UACGGAGGGUGCAAGCGUUAUCCGGAUUCACUGGGUUUAAAGGGUGCGUAGGUGGGCAGUUAAGUCAGUGGUGAAAUCUCCGGGCUUAACCCGGAAACUGCCAUUGAUACUAUCUGUCUUGAAUAUCGUGGAGGUAAGCGGAAUAUGUCAUGUAGCGGUGAAAUGCUUAGAUAUGACUAGAACACCAAUUGCGAAGGCAGCUUACUACCCGAAUAUUGACACUGAGGCACGAAAGCGUGGGGGAUCAAACAGG
rnacentral:rRNA from 1 species